UAUACAGACGUAAGAGUGCCGUACAAACCAAUGAAAAUUUUCGGUACCAUGUUUUCUUCUUUUUCUUUGAGAAUGAAUUUUCCGAGGGGACUAAUAAUUACCAUUUUUACGUGGUUUUUAUGCAUCAGAUUACCCCUCUUCGCCAAAUUUUGACAGUUUCUCCAAUAUUUCGCCCGCUUCGCCUCGGUCACCAAGCAAUGUUUUGUUUAUGUUUAAAAAUCAUGGUGCGCGGUCGGGUAAACUUUCGGCAGUACAUUUUUGUGCGCUCGAGAAAAUGCUGUAGAAAGUAGAGGCAUAGAUCAUCAUCCUAGAAAAAUUUUCUGCUUUAGUUAAAUAUGCGCGACCAGCGAAAGCCGGAAAAGAUUUUACCGAAAGCGAUUAUUAUAAUAAAUAAAUUACAAAUUUAUCGCCGUCGGGAAUGAUUCUUCUGUUGGAUCCAGCAGAGGACAUAGGGCACAAAACAGAUAAUCCCGGAAAGACCGAAAUCCGGAUAGUACGCGGAUAAAAUAUAUCGCCCCUCUUUUCAUAAACAACAACUCGGCGAGCUUCGUCCAUGGUGGUUUGGACACGAAGGCACACUGGUGAUCGGCCACAAAUAGAUUCAUAACAAGAUCCAGCAGUUAAACUUUCGCGAUUGUCAUGCCAAGAUUAACCAGGUGGAUUCGUAGGCUACCGUCGGCACCGUAUCACGCAAUCCUUUGUGCUGGCCGUCCAAUCGCCGAAUAAGUAUUACUUCCAUAAUGAUAUCUUCCAGUAUCAGGACAUUGACUCCGACGACGAACUCGAUGAGAAUGAUCGUUCCGGAGAGGAUGGGGGAAAGUGGAUGCCAACAAUGCCGUGGAAGAUCAGCAGCAGUUGUAGCAGGCGAACGCUGUUGCUGCACCAAAACGUACGACAAUCUGGUCAAAUCCGGAUGUGUUGGCUUUUGUUUCGUCCUAUCACCACCACCAGCUGCAAUCCUACCAUCAGUCGAGAGGAUACAGCAACGUGCCAGCCGGACGUCCAUUAGUGAUGUCCCCUUCGCCGUCGUUGCAAAGCCUCCAGUUCUUGGUCCAGUUCAUACAAUGGCGGACCCAUCAAUACCGUAUAUUCUAUCUACUGGUGGUAGACUGGGUGGCAAGUACGAUUGUGGCCAACAGCAAAAGUCAUCACAGCAGCAGCAGCAUGGGUCAGGGACAUAUGCCACAGCGGAUGCAAAACAAACAGGACCGAUCCGGGACAAUGGUGACUCAACCAGUUGUAGUGGACAGAGCACGACCAAAUAACAUAAUAGCCGACCAAGCUAUCAGGAGCUACAUCAGCGACGGCGAAGUUUAUUUACAGCUAAAAUCUAGUAAUCGGGACAUCUAUCAGAAGCUGUAAAUCGCAAUUUAGCUGAAAAGUUACCGGUUCGUUCUGUAGCUUGAAUCGGAAAUUCAGCAAGGAAACAGAAGAUAAGCUUACGGCCACCGAAAAAAAAAACACAGGACCUCAGUGAUCCCUGACAUGGUGAUGAUUUCCAUCGUGUUGAACUCAAAUCCUCUCCUGGAUAGCAGCCAAUUUCACAUCGGCCAUCGGAAACCUCGGAAACACAACGAAUUUGUUGCCACCGUCAAAUGCACCAUCCUUACCACAAAGCGAUGCACCCGGGAAUGCCCCAUGAGAGUGUUGGCAACAAAAAGCAAAUGAGGGAUGACAUUCCGAUAAGCCUUCCGGUGGUUCCUCCAAUAUUCGUCUAUUCAAUUGUCCCGGAUUGAACGUGGGGCAUAUACCAGCGUCUAUGUAUAUUCCGUAGUGAAGCAUGUUACGAUCGAUCACGUUCCACGUUGUCGGAAGUGAAACAACAAAACGAGGCAUUCCCUGACAACCAUGGAUGGUAUGUAUUCAGCAAUCACUCCGGGAUCAAAUCAACUGUCAGUUCAAGGAUAUUUCUUGGAGGAACUAAUCCGUCGUCAAACAGAAAUCUCGAUUAUCGUUACAUCCAGAAUACCCACCUACGCUAUAAUUUCAAAUGUAGUUACUAUAAUCAUACAGGUAUUAUAAUUGUUACAGAAUAUUCAAUAAAUAAUAUGGGGCGCUUGGGUCGGCAGGCGAUUUUGUUGUACCAUAUCCGAAAAAAUCAUAUCACGUCCUCCCGAAUUGCAUGGUCAUGCAAGAAAUUUACUAAAAAUUUGCACUCGAAGUCGAGUCAAGUACAAGACACUGAAGACGACCUUACAGUUGAGGUCGAAAUACGUAUCUGUCAAAAGAUGCAAAUUUUUAGUGGAAUUCAAAGGAACAGUACUUAACACGAUUUUCCUUUUUACUUACAGAUAUUCCCCUAACAAGCCCAGGUUAAUCAUCAUCAAGAAAUUUACUUUUGAAACAGUUCACUUCUGAAACUGUUCCAGAGGUCCCAGAAGAUUCCAAAUGUCCCAGAAUAUUUGAUCUAAUAAGGUUCACCAGAUCAUCCCGAAUUGCA